AACGCUAGCUACAGGCUUAACACAUGCAAGUCGAGGGGCAGCAUGGUCUUAGCUUGCUAAGGCUGAUGGCGACCGGCGCACGGGUGAGUAACACGUAUCCAACCUGCCGUCUACUCUUGGCCAGCCUUCUGAAAGGAAGAUUAAUCCAGGAUGGGAUCAUGAGUUCACAUGUCCGCAUGAUUAAAGGUAUUUUCCGGUAGACGAUGGGGAUGCGUUCCAUUAGAUAGUAGGCGGGAUAACGGCCCACCUAGUCUUCGAUGGAUAGGGGUUCUGAGAGGAAGGUCCCCCACAUUGGAACUGAGACACGGUCCAAACUCCUACGGGAGGCAGCAGUGAGGAAUAUUGGUCAAUGGGCGAGAGCCUGAACCAGCCAAGUAGCGUGAAGGAUGACUGCCCUAUGGGUUGUAAACUUCUUUUAUAAAGGAAUAAAGUCGGGUAUGGAUACCCGUUUGCAUGUACUUUAUGAAUAAGGAUCGGCUAACUCCGUGCCAGCAGCCGCGGUAAUACGGAGGAUCCGAGCGUUAUCCGGAUUUAUUGGGUUUAAAGGGAGCGUAGAUGGAUGUUUAAGUCAGUUGUGAAAGUUUGCGGCUCAACCGUAAAAUUGCAGUUGAUACUGGAUAUCUUGAGUGCAGUUGAGGCAGGCGGAAUUCGUGGUGUAGCGGUGAAAUGCUUAGAUAUCACGAAGAACUCCGAUUG
rnacentral:rRNA from 1 species